GCCUUUACCUGGCAGGGGAGAUACCAUGAUCAUGAAGGUGGUUUUCCCAGGGCAAGGCUUAUCCAUUGCAUUCCGGAUGUGCUGACCCCUGCGAUUUCCCCAAAUGCGGGAAACUCGAUUGAUAAAUUUAAGAAAC
rnacentral:snRNA from 1 species